rnacentral:rRNA from 1 species
GAUGAACGCUAGCGGCAGGCUUAACACAUGCAAGUCGAGGGGCAUCACGGGUAGCAAUACCUGGUGGCGACCGGCGCAAGGGUGCGUAACGCGUGAGCAACAUGCCCUAUACAGGGGGAUAAUCCAGGGAAACUUGGUCUAAUAUCCCAUAGCAUUUAGAGGUGGCAUCACCAUUAAAUUAAAGCUUCGGUGGUAUAGGAUUGGCUCGCGUGACAUUAGCUAGAUGGUGGGGUAACGGCUCACCAUGGCUAUGAUGUCUAGGGGUUCUGAGAAGAAGACCCCCCACACUGGGACUGAGACACGGCCCAGACUCCUACGGGAGGCAGCAGUGAGGAAUAUUGGACAAUGGAUGGAAAUCUGAUCCAGCCAUGCCGCGUGCAGGAAGACGGCCCUAUGGGUUGUAAACUGCUUUUAUAUGGGAGCAAUAAGGUCUACGAGUAGACCGAUGAGAGUACCAUAUGAAUAAGCAUCGG